rnacentral:rRNA from 1 species
AUUGAACGCUGGCGGCAGGCUUAACACAUGCAAGUCGAGCGGGGGAAGGUAGCUUGCUACCGGACCUAGCGGCGGACGGGUGAGUAAUGCUUAGGAAUCUGCCUACUAGUGGGGGACAACAUCUCGAAGGGGAUGCUAAUACCGCAUACGUCCUACGGGAGAAAGCAGGGGAUCUUCGGACCUUGCGCUAAUAGAUGAGCCUAAGUCGGAUUAGCUAGUUGGUGGGGUAAAGGCCUACCAAGGCGACGAUCUGUAGCGGGUCUGAGAGGAUGAUCCGCCACACUGGGACUGAGACACGGCCCAGACUCCUACGGGAGGCAGCAGUGGGGAAUAUUGGACAAUGGGGGGAACCCUGAUCCAGCCAUGCCGCGUGUGUGAAGAAGGCCUUAUGGUUGUAAAGCACUUUAAGCGAGGAGGAGGCUACUUUAAUUAAUACCUAGAGAUAGUGGACGUUACUCGCAGAAUAAGCACCGGCUAACUCUGUGCCAGCAGCCGCGGUAA